UCACAAUAACCAAUUGGCUUUACAAAACCUACAUCUAUGCACCUGACUUGUUUUUUUCCGCUUUGAAAUUUCUACGGGGCAAGGAGAAAAGAGUUUCCCCAACUUCCUCAGCUGGUUUGAUAAUAUUGCUCCAUGGAUCACUUGUAAAGUUCGGAAGGUCAUGGCGAAUGUUUGGCCUAAAUUGACCUUCCCUGUAAUAUGAAGCCAUUCGUUUUUGUCCUUGCAGAAACAGAAACAAAUCAAACCGGGACGCAGGUACCCACUUGCCCUGCAGACCUGGUGAUUCUGAUGAAGAGAAACCACAGCUAAUGGGCUGGCAAGUGUCAUCUGCUAACUUGUGCAACAACUCAUUUAGGGCAGGCCUGGGACCCUGCCCCACCCCCAUCACCACCCAGCAAACUGAUGAGGAAGCCUAGCAAACUGAACUUAAAGAUUGGGAAAAUGAAAAACUGAAGUCAACAACUUCAUCCAUGCUUAUCCACAAGUGAAGAUCCUAGUUAUCCAGAGGUCGAUGAGCUUCCUAUUAUUCCCAGGUCCCCCAGAAUUGAUACCGCUGUCUUCUGCCCUCUCCAUAAUUGCCGGCAGCAUCGCAUGGAGUGUCAUAGAGGUGCCAGCUACUUCCACAGCUGUUUUUAUUGCUUUGUCUCCACUCAAAUAACAAGUGAAAGAG